rnacentral:rRNA from 1 species
GCCGAUAGGCGUAGGCGAUGGACAACAGGUAGAGAAUCCUGAACCAGUGCUAAUAGUUUAACCGAUGGGGUGACACAGAAGGAUAGGGAAUCGCACGAAUGGAAAUGAGCGUCCAAGCAGUGAGUGAGAGAAGUAGGCAAAUCCGCUUCUCGCGAAGCAUGAGCUGAGAUGGGGAAGGAAAUUAAGUACGGAAGAUCCUGAUUUCACGCUGUCAAGAAAAGCCUCAAGGAA